GAGAAACUCCAUUCUCUUUUUAAAUAGUGCCAAUGGUCAGGCUAAACAAGCAAGACGGGAUCUCAGUUUAAGGUCUCAUUUGAAAGAAAGCACCUCUGACAACGCCACACUCCCCCUGAGAGUGUCAGCCGUGAAUUCACUGUGUCGGAAGGGUCUUGAACCACAUGCUUCUGGGUCUUCCCCAACUGAGCCAGGCUGACAAGGCAAAAGGAUGGAUGAUACACAGGAGAUACAUACCAAGUGCAGCAGACACAAUCAAUCCAAGCCAUGAGCUGUCGAAGUGUCAGCUUCCAGGAUGCUUCAGAGAGUAAAUGCAUCACAUCGGGGGCCUAUGAAGCCGUUACAGUCCAGGGAGGUCACAGGUUUUAUUCUUUGCCUGUGCUGUGUUAGAUGCUUGCUCCUUAGGCUUACAAAUAAAGAAUAAUCCCUGAGGUGAGGCCAUCGUGGAACUGUCCUUCAGCAAGAUGCAAGAACAACAAGUAGCACCUUUCACGUCGGAAGGACAUCCGAAGGUGCUGAGCCUCAGCAGGGAACAAAACUGGAAGAAAGGAAAAAGAUUAAAUAUCACAGAGAUGUCCAGCACAGAAGAAGGCCAUCUAAUUGUGUUCAUCAAUAGAAACAGAUCUACUAAAGAGAUGGUAAAGCCAAUCAUUAGGCCUGUUCACGCUUUGGAAAAUUCAAAGCUUUCAGAGAGAAAGCUUGCUUCACGUCCCUCGCCCGUCCCACCAUUGGUGGGCAGGACUUCAGCCACUUUGCUCCCACCUUCUGAAAUUCCAUCCCACAGUCCCUCCACCUUGUCCCCUCCCUUGUCUCCUUCAAGACCCGUCUCAAGACCAUUCUCUUCGGCCAUGCCUUUGAUCACCUUCCUUCCCCCGCUGCCUUCCACCCUCCCCGAUCCCAACCCACAGCUCAUGUCCAAAUCACUGUCUGUCCAGCGCCUUGGGACAUCUUCCCGACAUGAAAGGCACUAUACAAAUCUAACUUUGUUGCUGCUGUUGUUGUAUUUUCAUCAGUAUCAUUUGUUUCCUUCAUCGAAAGCACAGCUUAAAGACUAAUUUUAUCUGUGACCUUUAAGUAGUGAUACCACAGUACUAAAACUAUGUUUAGUAACUGGAACAUGAUCUUUGAAAAGUGCAGCACUGAACAAGCUGAGGGUGGGGGUGGGGCUGGGAUGAACUUGAAUCUUUUGGGUACUAUGCCAUUCCAUGGGCAAUAAGCUCCCUUGUUCUUUUUUGCUAAACCUAGUUACUGGAAUAAAGUGGGGCUUUUGGGC